CGGGCGGUGUACUCCCAGAUGGCGUCCUCGCCCAGCAGCGCCUGUUCGCCGAAGUAGGCGCCGUCGGCGAGGACUCCGAGGGACUCGUCGUCGCCGUAGGGGCCGGUGCCGACCCGCUCCACCCUGCCGUGCGCCAGCAGGUACACCUCGUCGGCCGGGCUGCCGAAGGAGGCGAUGACCUGGCCGGCCCCGAUCUCCCGCUGCCGGCAGCGGGCGGCCAGCUCGGUCAGCACCUCCUCGUCCUCGUACGACCGCAGCACCGGAAGCUCGCCCAGUUCCGCGGGGAUGAUCUCGACGCGGUCGCCGGUCUUCACGAACGUGAUCCGGCCAUCACCCACGGCGUACGUCAGCCGCCGGUUGACCCGGUAUGUACCGCCCUGCACAUCGGUCCAGGGCAGCAUGCGCAGCAGCCAGCGCGAGCUGAUCUCCUGCAUCUGCGGCACGGACUUGGUCGUGGUGGCCAGGUUCCGCGCAGCCGCCGUACCGAGGCUCUGCUGCUGCCUGG
rnacentral:antisense_RNA from 1 species